rnacentral:lncRNA from 1 species
UUCACUUUUAAGCCCGAAUUGUGUAACCAGAAAGAUACUAUCGGAAAAGGUUUUCCACCGGCGCUUCCUGAUAUUCCUGCGCCGUUCUUGCCGCCGAUCGGUGGAGGUAUUUUACCUCCUCUUCCGGUGCCGGAUGUACCCAUGCCACCUCUAAUUCCCCCGCUACCACAGCUCCCUGGUAUUCCACUUCCACCUGUUACCCGCCAAAAAUCAUCGGAAUCCGAUAGAUUGGCCGAUCAAAAAAGUUUUGGUUUCCCGUUUCCACCGCCACUGUUCCCACCGCUGCCGUUUGUGCCAUCGCCGCCGUCAUUGAUUCCUCCCGUCAUUCCAACACCACCACCGUCACUGUUCCCUCCCCUCGUUCCAUCAACACCACCAUCAUUGUUUCCUCCCCUCGUUCCAUCACCACCAUCAUCGAUGUUUCCACCAUUGCCCUUUCCACCUGUACCAGGUUUGAUUCCAUCACCGCCGCCGCCACCACCGCCGGCGUUCCCAAUUCCUCUGCCUCCACUACCUCCGCUACCUCCGCUACCUCCAGUACCUCCGGUACCAGGAGUCCCACCGGCGAAAACCUCCCCUUGAUUAAACUCGUAUAUAUUUAAUAUUAUUACUGCAUAACCUUUUGAAGUAACCUUUCCAUACAUACGCGCGUAUUACAAUUAUGGGUAUUGUAAUUGUAGCAUGAAUAAAUCGUACAUGGUAAAAUGGUUGGGAUUC